GUGGGGAAUAUUGCGCAAUGGGCGGAAGCCUGACGCAGCGACGCCGCGUGGGGGAUGACGGCCUUCGGGUUGUAAACCUCUUUCGCCAGGGACGAAGCUUUUGUGACGGUACCUGGAGAAGAAGCACCGGCCAACUACGUGCCAGCAGCCGCGGUAACACGUAGGGUGCGAGCGUUGUCCGGAAUUAUUGGGCGUAAAGAGCUCGUAGGCGGUGUGUCGCGUCGGCCGUGAAAACUUGGGGCUUAACGCUGAGCGUGCGGUCGAUACGGGCAUCACUUGAGUUCGGCAGGGGAGACUGGAAUUCCUGGUGUAGCGGUGAAAUGCGCAGAUAUCAGGAGGAACACCGGUGGCGAAGGCGGGUCUCUGGGCCGAUACUGACGCUGAGGAGCGAAAGCAUGGGGAGCGAACAGG
rnacentral:rRNA from 1 species